UUGACCUCAAAUCGGGG
rnacentral:rRNA from 1 species